GGCUCGUUUCCGGAGUACGACAGAAAACCGCUGUUUGAUUUUUUGGAUCAAGUGCUUCAUCGUAUUAACAUAAAAAUAUCUGCUUGGGGUUUCUACGAUGUCGGCUUGGAACUAAUAAGUGUGGCAUUUACAUAUCAUUUUGGCAUAUGUUUAAUAUGUGCACAACUUGGAUCAGCCAACACAACGCCUA